GCUAGAUUUAAAUGUAUCGGAUAAAUAUAUACUGUUUUAAGCUGAAAUUGCAAUUGUUUCUGAUAAAAGGAAAACGUAUUUUUAGACGAAUUCGGUGUAAAAUUCAUUUUUUCUUCGUUUUGAAGGCUUUGAACGUCUAAAGUUUCAUAUUCAAUUCUUCAAAUUUGUUACCGGAGUUAAGAAUGGAUGGGCUUACGUAUUUACAUGGAUUCAAACUGAAUACUGAAUUCCAAAAAUACACACGUCUAUCGAGAACACACAACACUUCCUCGAAAACGGAAGAAAGCCGUUUUGAUGGAAACGUUUAUAUUGAGGCUCAAGAAGGGAUACCAAGAUCGAUGUUUAAAAUCGCUAUGCUUGUAUUUUUCGGUUUUCUUUCCAUUUUGUUAGUUCUGUGUACAUAUCCACGAGAAAAGUGUUGAAUGAUUACUUCAAGGAACUAGAUGGGCUCGACUAUUUUUUGAAUACA